rnacentral:rRNA from 1 species
UUGACCUCGGAUCAGGUAGGGAUACCCGCUGAACUUAAGCAUAUCAAUAAGCGGAGAAUCGA